UACGAAGGGGGCUAGCGUUGCUCGGAAUUACUGGGCGUAAAGCGCACGUAGGCGGGUCUUUAAGUCAGGGGUGAAAUCCUGGAGCUCAACUCCAGAACUGCCUUUGAUACUGAGGAUCUUGAGUUCGGGAGAGGUGAGUGGAACUGCGAGUGUAGAGGUGAAAUUCGUAGAUAUUCGCAAGAACACCAGUGGCGAAGGCGGCUCACUGGCCCGAUACUGACGCUGAGGUGCGAAAGCGUGGGGAGCAAACAGG
rnacentral:rRNA from 1 species